AACGAACGCUGGCGGCAGGCUUCAUACAUGCAAGUCGAGCGAUUAAAGCCCCUUCGGGGGUGUAUAAAGCGGCGAACGGGUGAGUAACAGGUGGAUAACCUGCCUUUCGGAGGGGGACAACGGCUGGAAACGGCCGCUAAUACCGCGUACGCUUGCCGGUUCUUAGGGACUGGCAAGGAAAGGGGCCCUUAAAGCCCCGCCGAGAGAUGGGUCCGCCCCCCAUUAGCUAGUUGGCGGGAUAAUAGCCCACCAAGGCUACGAUGGGUAGCCGAGCUGAGAGGUUGAUCGGCCACACUGGAACUGAGAUACGGUCCAGACACCUACGGGAGGCAG
rnacentral:rRNA from 1 species